AGGACGAACGCUGGCGGCGCGCCUAAUACAUGCAAGUCGAGCGAGAACCAAGGCUUGCCCUGGGGAGAGCGGCGAACGGGUGCGUAUCACGUGAGCAACCUGCCUCAGAGACCGGGAUAACUCGAGGAAACUCGGGCUAAUACCGGAUGCCCUCGUUGGACCGCAUGGUUCGGCGAGGAAAUGGAUUCCGCUCUGAGAUGGGCUCGCGGCCUAUCAGCUUGUUGGUGGGGUAACGGCCUACCAAGGCAACGACGGGUAGCUGGUCUGAGAGGACGAUCAGCCACACUGGGACUGAGACACGGCCCAGACUCCUACGGGAGGCAGCAGUAGGGAAUCUUGCGCAAUGGGGGAAACCCUGACGCAGCGACGCCGCGUGCGGGAUGAAGGCCUUCGGGUCGUAAACCGCUUUCAGCAGGGACGAAUUGACGGUACCUGCAGAAGAAGGCCCGGCAACUACGCGCCAGCAGCCGC
rnacentral:rRNA from 1 species